rnacentral:rRNA from 1 species
AUUGAACGCUGGCGGAAUGCUUUACACAUGCAAGUCGAACGGCAGCACGGGGGCAACCCUGGUGGCGAGUGGCGAACGGGUGAGUAAUACAUCGGAACGUGCCCAGUCGUGGGGGAUAACGUAGCGAAAGCUACGCUAAUACCGCAUACGAUCUACGGAUGAAAGCGGGGGAUCGCAAGACCUCGCGCGAUUGGAGCGGCCGAUGGCAGAUUAGGUAGUUGGUGGGGUAAAGGCUCACCAAGCCUUCGAUCUGUAGCUGGUCUGAGAGGACGACCAGCCACACUGGGACUGAGACACGGCCCAGACUCCUACGGGAGGCAGCAGUGGGGAAUUUUGGACAAUGGGCGAAAGCCUGAUCCAGCCAUUCCGCGUGCAGGAUGAAGGCCCUCGGGUUGUAAACUGCUUUUGUACGGAACGAAACGGCCUUUUCUAAUACAGAGGGCUAAUGACGGUACCGUAAGAAUAAGCACCGGCUAACUACGUGCCAGCAGCCGCGGUAAAGUAUCG